rfam:TPA: Bos taurus chromosome X, whole genome shotgun sequence.
UCCCUUGUGGCUCAGCUAGUAAAGAAUCUGCCUGCAAUGCGGGUGACCUAGGUUCAAUCCCUAGUUUGGGAA